GUCGAACGGUAGCAGGAAGUGCUUGCACUUUGCUGACGAGUGGCGGACGGGUGAGUAAUGCUUGGGAACUUGCCUUUAGGUGGGGGAUAACAGUUAGAAACGACUGCUAAUACCGCAUAAUGUCUACGGACCAAAGGGGGCUUCGGCUCUCGCCUUGAGAGAGGCCCAAGUGAGAUUAGCUAGUUGGUGGGGUAAAGGCCUACCAAGGCAACGAUCUCUAGCUGUUCUGAGAGGAAGAUCAGCCACACUGGGACUGAGACACGGCCCAGACUCCUACGGGAGGCAGCAGUGGGGAAUAUUGCACAAUGGGGGAAACCCUGAUGCAGCCAUGCCGCGUGUGUGAAGAAGGCCUUCGGGUUGUAAAGCACUUUCAGUUGUGAGGAAAGGUUGGUAGUUAAUACCUGCCAGCUGUGACGUUAACAACAGAAGAAGCACCGGCUAACUCCGUGCCAGCAGCCGCGGUAAUACGGAGGGUGCGAGCGUUAAUCGGAAUUACUGGGCGUAAAGCGCACGCAGGCGGCUUGUUAAGCUAGAGGUGAAAGCCCCGCGCUCAACGUGGGAACUGCCUUUAGAACUGGCAGGCUAGAGUCUUGGAGAGGGGAGUGGAAUUCCAGGUGUAGCGGUGAAAUGCGUAGAUAUCUGGAGGAACAUCAGUGGCGAAGGCGGCUCCCUGGCCAAAGACUGACGCUCAUGUGCGAAAGUGUGGGUAGCGAACAGGAUUAGAUACCCUGGUAGUCCACACCGUAAACGCUGUCUACUAGCUGUUUGUGUAUUUAAUACGUGAGUAGCGAAGCUAACGCGCUAAGUAGACCGCCUGGGGAGUACGGCCGCAAGGUUAAAACUCAAAUGAAUUGACGGGGGCCCGCACAAGCGGUGAGCAUGUGAUUUACUCGAUGCAACGCGAAAACCUUACCUACUCUUGACAUCAGGAAAUUUUCAGAGAUGAUUAGUGCUUCGGGAUCUGAGACAGUGCUGCAUGCUGUCGUCAGCUCGUGUCGUGAGAUGUGGUAAGUCCGCACGAGCGCAACCCUUGUCUUAGAGUAGCAUUAAGUUGGGCACUCUAAGAGACUGCCGGUGACAAACGGAGGAAGGUGGGGGACGACACUCAAUCACCUGGGCCUCACAAGAAGGGGUACCACCGGCUUUACAAUGGCGGAUACGCGGGAGCAGGACCGUGACUGGUAAGGAACCCUAACAUUGUUGUUAUUCGCAGUGAGAAUGGGCACGCCACCCUCCUGUAUCGAGAUGCCCAUAUAUAUCCCAGGGGCGGGCGACACUCGGCCGGGUGGAGAUGAAUCAU
rnacentral:rRNA from 1 species